rnacentral:rRNA from 1 species
GUGGGGAAUAUUGGACAAUGGGGGCAACCCUGAUCCAGCAAUGCCGCGUGUGUGAAGAAGGUCUUCGGAUUGUAAAGCACUUUCGACGGGGACGAUGAUGACGGUACCCGUAGAAGAAGCCCCGGCUAACUUCGUGCCAGCAGCCGCGGUAAUACGAAGGGGGCUAGCGUUGCUCGGAAUGACUGGGCGUAAAGGGCGUGUAGGCGGUUUACACAGUCAGAUGUGAAAUCCCCGGGCUUAACCUGGGAGCUGCAUUUGAUACGUGUAGACUAGAGUGUGAGAGAGGGUUGUGGAAUUCCCAGUGUAGAGGUGAAAUUCGUAGAUAUUGGGAAGAACACCGGUGGCGAAGGCGGCAACCUGGCUCAUUACUGACGCUGAGGCGCGAAAGCGUGGGGAGCAAACAGGAUUAGAUACCCCGGUAGUCC